GAUAAUAGUGUUUGACAUUUCUUGUGUGCAAUGUGCUUCACAUCCAUUACUGUAGAUAACAGGGUCUCGCUACCAGUCCUGGCCGGCCUGGAAGUCUCUAUGUAGACCAGGCUGGCCUUGAAUGCAGAGAUCCACUUGCCCCUGCCUCCCAAGUGCUUAGAUCAAAAGCAUGCACCAACACACCCAGCUCUCUCGGAUGAUUCUUGCAGUAGCCCAGUGAAACAGCUAUGCUUCCGUCCCACUUUUCAGAUGAGGAAUUCUUGGUUUGUGGAAAUUCACGGGGCAAUGUCAAUAGGACAGUAAGGGGAGAAUUCAAACUUGGGGAGUCAGAACUCUCGGACUCAGUUCCUCUAACAUGCUAACAGAGUUUCAUACGGGUGAGUGUAAUAUUUUAGAUUCCUGGGAAACAUUUGUCCGGAUGCAGAGUGAUAAUCCUGGUGACAUCUGGGGAACACCCCCCCCAAACAUAAAAUUCAAUCAAUAAAAGUCUUUCAGAUGAUCAUUGGAGAAGUGGGUACAGAAGAAAGAGAGUAUAUUGUUUUCUUAUGUGUUAUUUUCUGCCACAGAGCUUGGAAUCUGGCUCAGGGCACAAGUGGAAUUGGUUUUCAAGUGGUAUAUUUCCCUGUUUUUUUAGAGAAAAGCCUGUUCUCCACAUCUUAACUUUGAACAUACCCCUUUGCUGAUUAAAAAUAACAGAGUUUUUGUUGAGUUUCUCAAGAUCUUGAGUGUGCUUUUUGAAAGCCUGGGCAAAACCUCUGUCCUGGAAUAAUAACUAUUCUUUGGAAGGCUGUGUGUGCUGAUCCAUAAUCAGAAACACGUGAUAAGGUACUCCGUUACAGUUUCCACACACAUGAACCCGGGAGGGGGGAGGGGGGCUUUCAAGUUAAAUAAAUCCUUACAUGUGUGACAAAAACAAGCUCCAAGACACCAUGGGUAUUGCCAACACUGGAAUCUGAGACCAGAGGGCUAAUGAGGAUGAAAAAAAAAUGAGAAAAAUCCUAAUAUUAAGCUGUAAUUUCUCUUUCUUUUUUCUGAGCCUGACCAUCAGCAUUUCCCUUGGUGCUGCUAAUUUGUUUCCAUUCUUAAGAUUACACAGACCUCAUCUGUAGCUCUGAGAGAAUCUGCUAAACUCCUUCCAUGGAAGUUGGAGCUCCCAGAUCUGUACUGACCAUCUCCAGGGUGUGGCUGUUCCAUUUGCUCUUCUGGAUUGUAGAAUAGAUGCCCAAGACUGCCUCAUUACUCACUCAAACCCUGUUGAACUCACGAGACUGUCAUCUAUUUCAGUCACCCCUACUGGAGAUCCAAGCUGUAUCCCAUGGGGCCAC